UGGCGGACGGGUGAGUAACGCGUGGGGAUCUGUCUCUGGGUGGGGGAUAACGAUGGGAAACUAUCGCUAAUACCGCAUGAAACCCGAGGGUCAAAGGCGCAAGUCGCCUGGAGAGGAACCCGCGUACGAUUAGCUUGUUGGCGGGGUAAAGGCCCACCAAGGCGACGAUCGUUAGCUGGUCUGAGAGGAUGAUCAGCCACACUGGGACUGAGACACGGCCCAG
rnacentral:rRNA from 1 species